rnacentral:tRNA from 1 species
UCUUCAUUGGUCUAGUGGUCAUGAUUUCCGCUUGUCAAGAGUAAAACCUCGUCAAGCGCGGGAGACCAGGGUUCGAUUCCCUGAUGGAGAG